UAACUACUCCCUCCGUCCAGAAUUACUUGUCAUCAAAAUGGAUGAAAAUGAAUGUAUCUGGAACUAAAAUACAUCUAAAUACAUCCAUUUUAAUGACAAGUAUUUCUGAACGGAGGGAGUAGAUU
rnacentral:pre_miRNA from 1 species